AUAAUGAAUUCUUUUCUGUGCAUUGGAAUUGCCGUAAUUUUCAUCUCCACCGCGCUAGCGCAGUCUGGAAGAUUUUGUAGAUUUGAUACCGACUGUUUCCCAGGUUACCGAUGUAUCAGGAACUACUGUCAAGUUUCUGGUGGCUCUCAAAUUUGUCGAUCCGACAUAGAUUGUCCAUUUGGCGAGAGAUGUAUAAACAGGCGUUGUAGAGAUUCUGAUGGCCCUGAUUUUUGUAGAUCCGACAGAGAUUGUCCAUUUGGAGAAAGGUGUAUAAACAGGCGCUGUAGAG